UGUGCUCUUCUGAUCUCUUAAAUUAAGGAAAAUAACUAAAGGGUGAUUUGGUCAACUUUUCACACGAUUUUCCAAUCUGAGAACAUUUUAAUUCUGCUCAGAAAGUGUGACAUCAGGUCAGCUUUUAUUCUGAGUGUUGAAACUUUCCAACUAUGGAAAAAUAUCACUUUUCAUUUUAGUGUAUUCUUAAAACUGGCCCG